rnacentral:rRNA from 1 species
CGCAAUGGGCGAAAGCCUGACGGAGCAACGCCGCGUGAGGGACGAAGGCCUCUGGGCUGUAAACCUCUUUUCUCAAGGAAGAAGAUAUGACGGUACUUGAGGAAUAAGCCACGGCUAAUUCCGUGUCAGCAGCCGCGGUAAUACGGGAGUGGCAAGCGUUAUCCGGAAUUAUUGGGCGUAAAGCGUCCGCAGGCGGCUUUUCAAGUCUGCUGUUAAAGCGUGGAGCUUAACUCCAUCAUGGCAGUGGAAACUGAAAGGCUUGAGUAUGGUAGGGGCAGAGGGAAUUCCCGGUGUAGCGGUGAAAUGCGUAGAUAUCGGGAAAGAACACCAGUGGCGAAGGCGCUCUGCUGGGCCAUUACUGACGCUCAUGGACGAAAGCCAGGGGAGCGAAAGGGAUUAGAUACCCCUGUAGUCCUGGCCGU